rnacentral:lncRNA from 1 species
CCUAAAAUCAUCUCCUAAUCCUGGGCACAACAGCAACCUCGACACAGAAACCAUGACAAGUUCUAGAAGAUCACCACAUGCAUGACAAAAUUCACAACAAAGAAUAAACUGUGUAUGAUAAACAGUUAUGGCUCAAAUCCUCACAGGUUUAUUCAACGUCUAAAAGUCAAGGUCAAAAUCACUCUAGAAUUAUGCAAAUUAGUUCUAAUUAUGCUUAAAUAAUCAAGAAAAUCAAACUCCAAAUUUUUUUCACAGAAAUCAUCAUUGGCAUCUCACCAGAAAUCUAAUGGAGCAAUAAUCAUCUCAAAAACAAAACAAACACACACCACCAACCAAGCAGGAUAAAACAAUAAAGCUAACAAAAAGAUAAAAGUGAUAUACAUAUCUACUCUCACCCCCCUCCCCCAAACUUAUUACAGAACAUAAGUUCAAAAAUAAGUUUGGAGGGAUGAUGAUAUGUGUGUCACUACUUACAGAAAAUUUAUGCUCCACGGUGGUGGUAUGAACAAGGCGCGAGUUCCCACAUCUUCAAAGCUCAACACUGCACUAAUACCCCGAAACGAAGAAAAUAAAGAAACAAAAAGAAACUAAACGAAAGGAAAAAAAAAACGGGAGCUCGACGAUACCUCAUGGCCUCAAUGAACAUCAAACGCAACGGGCGUGACAGACUUCCUCGUACGAAUAGAGACAAAGGACUCAUGCGCAUCAGCUGCAUGAAAGAUAGCGCUUCCAUUCGACACAUCUAUCAUAGCUCGUCCCGUAGCUAAGAAUGAUUGACCAAGAAUCAACGGCGGAUUUGCAUCUUCAGGAAUAUCGAGGACCAAGAAAUCCGUAGGGAAGACGAGCUUAUCAACCUUCACAAAGAUGUCUUCAAGCUUUCCUCUCGGC